rnacentral:lncRNA from 13 species
GGGUGUGGGGGGCAUCAUGGCAGAGUGCUUGUGCGGAAUCCGUCAAUGAGUCCAGCCCACUCAACACCCAGUCACCUGUACUUGAGCAUGGGGCAGUCUCCUUCCUCCUCCGUGCCUGUGAACAAUCUCCGGACCUGCCUCAGAGCCCGAGUCCUCUUGGGAGCCUGCCUGCACCUUCCUCUUCAUCUCCUCUCUUCAACGCCUUGGCCUCAGCCAUCACUGUUAGUAGAAACGACACUGCCAUUCCCUCCCCGAGGAUUGUGCCUUCUGUGAUUAGGGUCUAAGCUUUUCAAGACUCUUGACCUGGUGCAUUUGUGUGUAACCAGAAAACAUGGAGCUUGGACCACGGCUGAUUAUGUAUUUGGGAAGGAGGUGAUUAGAAGGCAGUGAGGCGGGGCCCAGGAACUGGAUGGGGCUCCCAUCCAUCGGAUGCUGAUGCUAAAGAGCAGGGGCCCUGGGCAGCAGCAGGGGACCGUGAUCCAUACCCACAAGCCCAACUCACCUCACUGCCCGCCCUGCUUUUCAUGGGGCAGUUGUCUGUGUUUUUCAGGAGCUGCUUUCUCAGACUGUUUGCAAUCUGCUUUUUGAUAGAAUGGACACAAACAUACCAGAGGAAAGACGUUCAUUUUCUUCCAGGAGUUCAAGGCCCAGCUGACCGUGUUUACAUCAACAUAGACCUUAAGAAUAAGAGGACAGAUCCUUUACAUCUGGUUUCUGUGAAUGGAUUUUCCACAACUAUCAAGCACUGGGAAGCCAAGGAGCCUGGUCUAUGACUGAUUAGGACCACCGCCAUAUACAAGCCUGAAAAUUUGUUCCCGUGACAAGAUAAGCACAGACAAGAGACUCGAUCAGUGUCAGCAGCUGCCUCAUGUUAAGACAUGCAUUUUGGACAGCAGUUCUAAAAAUGGCUAAUGGCUUUAGCAGAAAGAAUGCCUCAUGUGUUCUCCUAGAGCAGGGGGUGCAUCCUUGAUGAAAGCUGAGUGACUUUUUAGAUAAGAGUGGUGUAUCUGAUUGCUAUUAAAAUGUCACCCUUGGUAAUGACAUUGUAGGGCUCAUUCAUCAAAACGCGGUGUUAUUGCCUGCCACCUACGCUGCCAAUUGGAAUCCAGACAUCUAUUGAUGAGGGUGCUGUGGCGUUGGGGCUGCAGGCUUUGAGACAGAUGGCCCAUUUGCUAGAUGCACACACUUCCUUUGCUGCCGCAAAAAGAAUGGCCUCAGAAAGGCAUUCUGUUACUUGAUUCAUGAGUCUUGGGGAUAAGACAGACUUGCAGAUGCACUGUCAUGCAGUAGUUUCUAUCAUGUUUCUGAAGCCAAAAGUAAUUAUUUUAAAAAUCUGAUAUUUAUUAACUGUUCAGCUAUUUCAAUAAGAGGAGGUGCUAUGAAAAGAAGUCAUGAUGAUCAUGCAAAUAACAUCAAUUCCUAUUACAUGUUAAAGACUCGGAAGAACAAAACGAUCUUCAGCAAGCGUUUUUAUAACUAACAAAAAUAUCAGCUUGUUAUGGCCUGAAUCAGGGAGAAUUCCCCAUUCCGCAUUAUGCUUCUCACCACUUUCUCUUCUCCUUGUUGAGGGGGAUGGUUAAAAAUAUCUAAAAGCCAUUAAAAGACGAACCUUAUUUUCCCUUAUAAAGAAAUGCCUCUUUUUAAAACAUUUUUGUUCUCAUGAUCAUGAAGUUCUUUAAGAGCACAAAUUAUUCUCCCAUAUCACUUGAAUGGAGAGAGAAAUAGUGCCCUGUGUGCUUAAAGUGUCUUCUUUUACUAGGACUGAGUGUGCUUUUCCACUGGGCAUUGUGCCUAGCUCAUUGUAUUUAUUCAUCUUUUUUUUUUAAUUGAAGCUUUUAUUCUAGGCCCUUCAGAGAUAAUGGGACCACAUGUUCUUUUAUCAAAAUGAUUCCGCCUCUUAAGUUACUUAGCUAGGGUUUCUGGAGUAGAAGUAAUAGAUGCUUCCAUUCUCUGGUAUGCAGAAUGAGACCAUUUCCAGGCAGUCACCGUCCAGGUUCUUCUAUCUUUUAUAAACACCUGCACUCUGAUUUCAAAUGUCAACUCCAAUGUCAUACCCUAGAAACUUCAGAAUCACUCCCUCUACGCUUUCUUAAAAAUGCAGCUAAUGCAGUUUUCUUUCUCUGGUGAGGCAUCUUUAGAAAUAUAGAGGCAAAUAACAAGUGAGUUGAGUUGACAAAUCAUUGCAAUGGAAAGCAUAGAGAAUUUCUAACAUAAACUUUUUGAUUUCUUUUUUAAACACGUCAGGGGAUGUGCCACGAGCUGGAGCUGUUGGGCUGGCUACUUAACCUUGAGUCUCAGAUUUACACUCUGUGAACUCAGAUUAAUAGUAUUUACCCUACCUCACAUAGUUAUGAAUAUUAAUGCCUACCAUUUAUUUGCUGUUGGGGAAUCUACAAUAAUGAAAAUUCAGUGACCAAAAUGACCAGACAAGAAAUCGAUUCUUGGGCUGAACAACUAAUAUUGAGCUUGUUCUUAUCACUUUGCCUUUGUGUAGCAUAGUUGGAGAUGGCUCCUUUUCUAUAUUCUUUUAAAAUUCAAAAUAAUAAAGGAGGCUUUCUGUGGUGAGAUUAGCA